CAGCCGCCGCGGGAAUACAGAGGGUGCAAGCGUUAAUCGGAAUUACUGGGAGUAAAGCGCGCGUAGGUGGUUUGUUAAGUUGGAUGUGAAAGCCCCGGGAUCAACCUGGGAACUGCAUCCAAAACUGGCAAGCUAGAGUACGGUAGAGGGUGGUGGAAUUUCCUGUGUAGCGGUGAAAUGCGUAGAUAUAGGAAGGAACACCAGUGGCGAAGGCGACCACCUGGACUGAUACUGACACUGAGGUGCGAAAGCGUGGGGAGCAAACAGGAUUAGAUACCCCAGUAGUCCCUGUCUCUUAUAC
rnacentral:rRNA from 1 species